AGGCGACGAGCUAGACCAUUUAGGAGGGAAGACUGUGGAGUGACAGAUUACGAUAAUGUCAAGGCUGAAGGUUGCUAGCAUUUUGUCAAACGCUUAUCACAUCGUUACUACUACGUAAUAUUAUAUACAGUCAGUAUAAGUGUCAGUCCUGUUCAACUUAGGAGGUUCUUCUGUUAAGCUUUCUUUUGGUUUUCUUCAUGUACUUUUAUUUUAAUUUUUAUCUAUGUGGCAAGGCCACUAGUCUUAACGGUGUCAAACUUUAUGUAAAACAUAUUUGAAGCAUAUAUGUGAAGUAGUAUAUUUUAAUUAAUUCAGUCUUGUUAUUUAAAUUUUUUAAAUUUUUUGUAUUUUAUUUUAGAAUUUCACUAAUGGGACAUAGGCUGUCUCACUCUUUACCACCCUAAAUUCUCCAUUAUUCAAUUUUCACCCUCCUAUCUCAUUAUUUCAUAUUUUACUCAAUUUCUAUUAUUUUAAUUUAUGAAAAAUGGUGAUAAUUCAUGUAAAUUCUACCCAACCCCGUACCAAUAAAUUAUUUAAGCACAUAUUUAACUUAAUUAAAUAAUUUAAUUUAAAAACUGAGUGUUACACGAUCCGCCAAACCCAAAACAUAAUAGGGUUUGUGCCUUAAAAUUAUAAUCCAUAAUUUUUAUAACUUAUUUAGCCCAACCCUACAAAGUCCGUUGCCCAGUAGGGCUAGCCCGUAUGGGCCUCAAGUAGAUCUCUAAACCCUCGUAACUAUAAAAAAAAAAUUAUCUUAAUAUUUAUAAUGUCUCACUCUAAAAUAACACAUUAAUUUUUUCCACUUCACUAAAUUUUAGCAUUAUUCUAUUCAAUCUUUCUUUUUUAAAUAUCGUACAUUAAUAUAAUCAAAUUAAUAUUUAAUUGUUUUGUGUUUUACUUCACAAUUUUCUCAUAUUAUAUUAGUUUCUUUUAUGUUAAAUAUUUGAGUAUUGUAUUAUACAAUUUAGACAUAUAUUAUAUUUAAAUAUAAAAUAAUAUAAAAUUUAAAAAUAUAUUAUACUUAAAAUAAUAAAAAAAAUUGUUGUUUUUGUUUUAAAUAUUAGGGAUUUUUAUUUUAAUUUUUGUAUAAAAGGUAAUUUUAAAAAAAUAGUUCGUUUAGUGUCGGGUAGCCCGAAGUCCGUAUAAGGUCGGACUCGGGUAGUAAUUAUUAAGCCCAUAUUAUAAUAAGGCUUUUUAGCCCAGUACUAAAACGUUUGAGGACCGUUAAGGCUAGUCUGUUUAGGAUCGGGUAGUCUGUUUUAACAGCUCUAACGUUAAUUAUUUAUGCAUGCUAGGCAAGACGAGGGUCUUAGCCUGAAUCCUCAGGGACGAUCGACUUAUAACACCUGGACUCCAUGUGAAGUUAGGUGGCGUAGCUCUUGGUAAUUGGGAGUACGUUGGUGGUAUGUGGUCUUGUGAUAUCUGAUCUUGGUAAAUGGGAUAGGUAUCCUUGACAUCAUUUAGUGGCCUGAGUCAACAUAUAGUUCAGGGAUGCAUUAGAAUAAAAACUUAUAGAGUAUAGGUAAAUAUGGGAUAAAGAUACGCUUGUUGGAAUAAUUGUGGUUGUCAUAUAUCUAUAUUACUAUUUUACAUUCUAUUCCCACUUUUAAACUUGUACGUAAAUCUUAUCCCUAUAUUCUUUUUGUCUUGCAUCUUUGGAUUGAUCUAUGACGAUCAGGCGACGAGCUAGACCAUUUAGGUGGGAAGACUGUGGAGUGACAGAUUACGAUAAUGUCAAGGCUGAAGGUUGCUAGCAUUUUGUCAAACGCUUAUCACAUCGUUACUACUACGUAAUAUUAUAUACAGUCAGUAUAAGUGUCAGUCCUGUUCAACUUAGGAGGUUCUUCUGUUAAGCUUUCUUUUGGUUUUCUUCAUGUACUUUUAUUUUAAUUUUUAUCUAUGUGGCAAGGCCACUAGUCUUAACGGUGUCAAACUUUAUGUAAAACAUAUUUGAAGCAUAUAUGUGAAGUAGUAUAUUUUAAUUAA
rnacentral:lncRNA from 1 species